CGUAUGUGGGAGAGAUGGGCGGAUCGAUCUUUGCACUGUUGCCUUCCCCGGUAUAUAUAGUGGAGCACGGUGUGGCGCUGUCAUUAAUGGCGCGGACAAGUGAGGAACUGUCAACUCACUGUGGACUGUCAGAGUCGCCGUGAGGAUGUCACAUCGCCGCGGGGGCUGUCAAAUCAUCAGGGUUGACAAUGCCUCUGGCAGGACAAUGCCCCGAAAUGGCCGUGCCGCAUAUUGCUGUCAGAGCUGACAAGGCCUGGCGGCUGUACGGCGGUUGGAGGAGUCAGCCGACCCUAGGUCGGCGGCCAGCAGAGUGGCGUCGGGUUCCUCCGGUCGGUCGGCGAGCUUUCCAUAUGUCGGCC
rnacentral:lncRNA from 1 species